rnacentral:sRNA from 1 species
UGAUGUCCUUGUAGGCGUAGAUGACUA